GGGAGGGAAGGGAACAGAGGGAGGGAGGAGGCGGGCAGGGAGAGAGAGGUAGAGGGUGUCUGUGCUGCGUGCGUGUGGCUCGGGCGGGGAGAGGAGGAAGCCAGCGGAGCAGGCGGUGGGAUCCCGUGUGCCCUGCAAAGGUGUCAGCCCCGAGGGGACUGAGCUUGCCAGUCCACCUGGAGCGAGGUAGACUUGGGGGAGGCAGGCAAGGUCAGUUGCUAAGUGGCUCCCUCCUCGGGGAUGGUGAGGACGUCUGCUGCUCUCCAGUGCCUGCCUGGUGCCUCUGGGUCACACUCGGCUGUCUCCUCCCAGACACUUGAUUUUUCGAAAGGGACACACCUUUCUGCAGGAAGGAAGACUGGCCAGACUGCGAGCGUUUCCACCCCAUCUGUCCAGCAUUCCCGCCCUCCUCCGCACCCCGGGGAAGCGUGGCCCGUCUUCACCGUGAGGCUUUUGCCUCCUAAGCCUGGAUUUCCGGCUGGUUCGCUGGGGGUGGCUGUGGAUGCCCAGGCAGACUGA
rnacentral:lncRNA from 1 species